rnacentral:rRNA from 1 species
CUGGAGGUAUCAGAAGUGCGAAUGCUGACAUAAGUAACGAUAAAGCGGGUGAAAAGCCCGCUCGCCGGAAGACCAAGGGUUCCUGUCCAACGUUAAUCGGGGCAGGGUGAGUCGACCCCUAAGGCGAGGCCGAAAGGCGUAGUCGAUGGGAAACGGGUUAAUAUUCCCGUACUUGGUGUUACUGCGAAGGGGGGACGGAGAAGGCUAUGUUGGCCGGGCGACGGUUGUCCCGGUUUAAGCGUGUAGGUGUGUGUUCCAGGUAAAUCCGGUUCACUUUAACACUGAGGCGUGAUGACGAGGCACUACGGUGCUGAAGCAACAAAUGCCCUGCUUCCAGGAAAAGCCUCUAAGCAUCAGGUAACAUCAAAUCGUACCCCAAACCGACACAGGUGGUCAGGUAGAGAAUACCAAGGCGCUUGAGAGAACUCGGGUGAAGGAACUAGGCAAAAUGGUGCCGUAACUUCGGGAGAAGGCACGCUGACACGUAGGUGAAGUGAUUUACUCAUGGAGCUGAAGUCAGUCGAAGAUACCAGCUGGCUGCAACUGUUUAUUAAAAACACAGCACUGUGCAAACACGAAAGUGGACGUAUACGGUGUGACGCCUGCCCGGUGCCGGAAGGUUAAUUGAUGGGGUCAGCGCAAGCGAAGCUCCUGAUCGAAGCCCCGGUAAACGGCGGCCGUAACUAUAACGGUCCUAAGGUAGCGAAAUUCCUUGUCGGGUAAGUUCCGACCUGCACGAAUGGCGUAAUGAUGGCCAGGCUGUCUCCACCCGAGACUCAGUGAAAUUGAACUCGCUGUGAAGAUGCAGUGUACCCGCGGCAAGACGGAAAGACCCCGUGAACCUUUACUAUAGCUUGACACUGAACAUUGAGCCUUGAUGUGUAGGAUAGGUGGGAGGCUUUGAAGUGUGGACGCCAGUCUGCAUGGAGCCGGCCUUGAAAUACCACCCUUUAAUGUUUGAUGUUCUAACGUGGACCCGUGAUCCGGGUUGCGGACAGUGUCUGGUGGGUAGUUUGACUGGGGCGGUCUCCUCCUAAAGAGUAACGGAGGAGCACGAAGGUUGGCUAAUCCUGGUCGGACAUCAGGAGGUUAGUGCAAUGGCAUAAGCCAGCUUGACUGCGAGCGUGACGGCGCGAGCAGGUGCGAAAGCAGGUCAUAGUGAUCCGGUGGUUCUGAAUGGAAGGGCCAUCGCUCAACGGAUAAAAGGUACUCCGGGGAUAACAGGCUGAUACCGCCCAAGAGUUCAUAUCGACGGCGGUGUUUGGCACCUCGAUGUCGGCUCAUCACAUCCUGGGGCUGAAGUAGGUCCCAAGGGUAUGGCUGUUCGCCAUUUAAAGUGGUACGCGAGCUGGGUUUAGAACGUCGUGAGACAGUUCGGUCCCUAUCUGCCGUGGGCGCUGGAGAACUGAGGGGGGCUGCUCCUAGUACGAGAGGACCGGAGUGGACGCAUCACUGGUGUUCGGGUUGUCAUGCCAAUGGCACUGCCCGGUAGCUAAAUGCGGAAGAGAUAAGUGCUGAAAGCAUCUAAGCACGAAACUUGCCCCGAGAUGAGUUCUCCCUGAG